UACGUAGGGUGCGAGCGUUGUCCGGAAUUAUUGGGCGUAAAGAGCUCGUAGGCGGUCUGUCGCGUCGGAUGUGAAAGCCCGGGGCUUAACUCCGGGUCUGCAUUCGAUACGGGCAGACUAGAGUGUGGUAGGGGGAGAUCGGAAUUCCUGGUGUAGCGGUGAAAUGCGCAGAUAUCAGGAGGAACACCGGUGGCGAAGGCGGAUCUCUGGGCCAUUACUGACGCUGAGGAGCGAAAGCGUGGGGAGCGAACAGG
rnacentral:rRNA from 1 species